rnacentral:ribozyme from 1 species
GUGCUCACGCAGGUCGAAAUCGUUCGGCUUUUUAGACGCACAAACUCACGCCACCGAACAGCCGAUGCACCAGGGUCGGCUUCGGACGCGCUCCUUGAAUUGUGCCUGCGGUUUUGGCACCAGGGCCC